rnacentral:rRNA from 1 species
GACGAACGCUGGCGGCGUGCUUAACACAUGCAAGUCGAACGGAAAGGCCCUGCUUUGGUGGGGUGCUCGAGUGGCGAACGGGUGAGUAACACGUGAGUAACCUGCCCUUGACUUUGGGAUAACUUCAGGAAACUGGGGCUAAUACCGGAUAGGAGCUCCUGCUGCAUGGUGGGGGUGGGAAAGUUUCGGCGGUUGGGGAUGGACUCGCGGCUUAUCAGCUUGUUGGUGGGGUAGUGGCUUACCAAGGCUUUGACGGGUAGCCGGCCUGAGAGGGUGACCGGCCACAUUGGGACUGAGAUACGGCCCAGACUCCUACGGGAGGCAGCAGUGGGGAAUAUUGCACAAUGGGCGGAAGCCUGAUGCAGCAACGCCGCGUGCGGGAUGACGGCCUUCGGGUUGUAAACCGCUUUCGCCUGUGACGAAGCGUGAGUGACGGUAAUGGGUAAAGAAGCACCGGCUAACUACGUG